AGUGAUGAAAGUUAGUUUAUAUGUUGUGCGUCAUGGCCAAACACAUGCUAAUGCUAGAGGUGUUCUUCAAGGACAUCAAGAUUCUCCUCUCACUGCUCUAGGAGUCCAAAGUUCAGCAAACACAGGGAAAGCUCUACAAGAAAUAAAUUUCAGUGUGGUAUUCAGCAGUGAUCUGGGGAGGGCUCAAGACACUCUCUGUCAAAUCGGCUACAAAACUCCAGACAAGUUUGACAAGAGGUUGCGGGAGCGUGAUUAUGGGUCCUGGUCAGGGAAACCCUGGAAAGAGUACAAGAAUGCAACCAAGUGCAAUAAUGGGGAGUCUACUGAAUACCACCAUCUUCCUGGUGUCGAGACGGAUGAUAAAUUACAGAAAAGAUGGAGUGAAUUUCUUUAUGAAAUGAUUAAGAAUUUCAAGGACAGUACACCAGAAAACAACGCCCUCAUAGUCACCCACGGAGGUAUGAUACGAGUGAUAACAAAACACCUGCUGCAAUUCUCGUCCCGACCCCUGGGACUGAACCUGGCGCACUGUGGUAUUGGCAACAAUAGCAUAUCAGUGUUCGAGUUGGAAGUCUCUGACGCUGAAAUAGUUAAUUGUGAUGUUGUUAAAGUAUUUGACUGCAAGCAUUUGCAACGGUCUUGCUGAUUUGGGAGGUUACACAUUUUUAUUUUUCCAGAAUUUGUUGCUACCUAAUGUUUAUUUAUUAUCUGGAAUAUUUCUUUUAUAUUCAGAGGAUUUUAAUAUGAACUCAUAUUCCGUUUGGAUUCAUUUUUCAAGUUUUGUACCGUUGAAGGUUAUCAUUCAACACUGAAAUUAAAAUCUUUUCCUAAUUUAUAUAUAUUACAUUGCAUUCUUAUGUUAUUAAAUAGGCUGAUUUAAAGUUGAAAUAACUAAACACAAAUUUAUUGUACAAUAUAAUAGUAAUUCCUGCACUGUUCUAAAGCAAUGUUUUUGAGCGCUUACUUUGAAUCUCUAUCAUAGUUUUGAAUUUAUUCUUUAUCAUAGUUUUAAAUUUAAUCGUUUUAUGAGAUUCGCGAUUAGUAUUUAGUAGUACUAAAAUUAACAUGUAUAUUGUAUAAUUAAUAUAUACGUUAUAAAUGUAAUUUCAAUGUUUUGUUCUUCUGCAGCAUAUUAAAUAAUGAUAUUCUGUGCAAUUUUCAAAAGAUUUUUGGAUAAAAACUAAUAAGCUCACCUUUGGGUUUGUCAAUUAGUGGGAUUAGUUUACAUUAACCUAUGGUUCACAAACAAUAUCUUUGUAGUUUUUAGAGAUCAAAUUUCUUUACUAAGUAGGGUAAAUUGGUAUAACUGGUGAUGUAGUUUUAAAAUUAAAUAGAUGAUACAAGUGAUGAUAUAUGUUAUUAUGUAUUAAAUAUUACAACGGGCUGUUUAGUUAUCCUUUGUUCACUUGGUAUUAACUUUAAUAAUUUAUUCUUUGAAUCAGUUCUCUAAAUGUUUUAAAUACACUACAGAAGCGAAACUUAUUAUAAUUUCUAAAUUUAUCGAUUAGAUAGCACGUGGUGUGGAAUGGAAUUUGUAGAGCCCGAACCUUUUAUUAUUUACAACAAUUAAAUUACAACAAUACUUUUAUUAUGGAUUGACUUUGUUUUAUCUUAUUGUUAACUGAACUAAAGCUAACAAGUAGUAUGAUACAUAAUUAUCGGAGAGAUUUUAUCGAGGAAAGUUAAAAUAUCUGGUUUAAAAGUUAUUUAAGUCAUUUUUAGACGUUUGUGUCAAUAAUUACUAUCUGUACUGAGCUUCAGUGUUCUUUUUGUAAUGAAUAUAUAUGUUAGUACCUGUGUGCUAUUACCUUAUGAUGAGCAGCUAUUAAAUGUCAUAACACCAGUUCACCUCUAUGUAACUUACUUAGGGAUUAAAUAAUUGCCGCAUUAAUCUUUUAAUGUUCAUAUUUAUUAGGGCAGGCUCCCUCUAUUAAAAAUUCAUGAUAUUGGCUAUCUUUGAAGUGUGAUCUUCACCCAUAAAAAUGUG